GACGAACGCUGGCGGCGUGCCUAAUACAUGCAAGUAGAACGCUGAAGGAGGAGCUUGCUUCUCUGGAUGAGUUGCGAACGGGUGAGUAACGCGUAGGUAACCUGCCUGGUAGCGGGGGAUAACUAUUGGAAACGAUAGCUAAUACCGCAUAAUAGUAGAUGUUGCAUGACAUUUGCUUAAAAGGUGCAAUUGCAUCACUACCAGAUGGACCUGCGUUGUAUUAGCUAGUUGGUGAGGUAACGGCUCACCAAGGCGACGAUACAUAGCCGACCUGAGAGGGUGAUCGGCCACACUGGGACUGAGACACGGCCCAGACUCCUACGGGAGGCAGCAGUAGGGAAUCUUCGGCAAUGGACGGAAGUCUGACCGAGCAACGCCGCGUGAGUGAAGAAGGUUUUCGGAUCGUAAAGCUCUGUUGUAAGAGAAGAACGAGUGUGAGAGUGGAAAGUUCACACUGUGACGGUAUCUUACCAGAAAGAGACGGCUAACUACGUG
rnacentral:rRNA from 1 species